UUAUUUGCUCUUGCUUAAUUUCAUUCCCUUCAUUUCUCUGACGCUGAUGAUUGUCAUUUGCCAGACUACCAAUGUGUUCGACGUUUGUGUUAAGUGAGACUACAAUUGCUUACUUUUUUUUAUUUCUAGUGUACGCUUUUUAUCCUUCUUAUUUAUGACUAUAAUGUCGAGGUCGCAUAAAUAACUUAAGUGCGUAAUUACAGGCGUAACAGAGACAUAUAGCAUACUAACAACCUGCUGCGUUUUUAAGUGGGACUACUUCCUACUAAAGCAACUGGAGACCGACUUUCAAACCUUUGCAAUACUCUCGUCAGGAUAUUUGAACGUGUAGGAUUAGGGAACCAAUAGAAGCCCGUCGAAAUUAAUAUACAUACAUACAAAUUAUGAAGAUUAUGUGGAUUGCACGCCCAGCUCAAAAAUUUCGUUGCUAUCACUAAUUUGGCACUCCGCUGCUUCAAACAGCGUUCAAACAGCCUCGGACUUCCCCCGCUCCACCAGCCUCCUCCGCGUUGAUGUCUCGAGUGCCGCAGAGAAUCGUACCAGUCCACUUCAGGUGUUUGUGUGUGUGAGUGGCAACACCGGGGAAGUGCCACUGAAUAAACCCCGAGAUGUAAUUAAGCAAUAGUGGGAACAAGGUGGAAAAUAGAGCCGCUCGUGUGCCAUGCGUGGUUUCUCGUUCUCACGCUAUAUGGUUUUCGAAUCGUUCUCUGGAAAUUGCCCACUCGGUUUCUCAUCUACUGCCCUUCGAAUGCAAAAUGUGUCCCAUUAAGUAAAGUGACAGACAGAGCAUUUUGUUGUUAUUAUCAUUAUAUUCCUUUAGUUUUGUGUUCGUGAAGUAUUCGCCAAAUGAGAAAGCUUUGUGUGCCACAUGAUAUGAGCCAAAGGUCAUUGAUAGCCAUAUGAGCAGAUGAAAAAUAUGUAUCAAUCACAAAAGAAAAAUAUGAAAAUAAAAGAAAAA